rnacentral:rRNA from 1 species
GACGAACGCUGGCGGCGUGCUUAACACAUGCAAGUCGAACGAAGAGCGAUGGAAGCUUGCUUCUAUCAAUCUUAGUGGCGAACGGGUGAGUAACGCGUAAUCAACCUGCCCUUCAGAGGGGGACAACAGUUGGAAACGACUGCUAAUACCGCAUACGAUCUAAUCUCGGCAUCGAGGAUAGAUGAAAGGUGGCCUCUACAUGUAAGCUAUCACUGAAGGAGGGGAUUGCGUCUGAUUAGCUAGUUGGAGGGGUAACGGCCCACCAAGGCGAUGAUCAGUAGCCGGUCUGAGAGGAUGAACGGCCACAUUGGGACUGAGACACGGCCCAGACUCCUACGGGAGGCAGCAGUGGGGAAUCUUCCGCAAUGGACGAAAGUCUGACGGAGCAACGCCGCGUGAGCGAGGACGGCCUUCGGGUUGUAAAGCUCUGUUAAUCGGGACGAAAGGCCUUCUUGCGAAUAGUGAGAAGGAUUGACGGUACCGGAAGAGAAAGCCACGGCUAACUACGUG